rnacentral:misc_RNA from 1 species
UCCGAGUUGACCCCGGCAGUCUCCUAUGAGUCCCCGGCAUUAUCCGCUGGCAACAUAGGACGAGGGUUGCGCUCGUUGCGGGACUUAACCCAACAUCUCACGACACGAGCUGACGACAGCCAUGCAACACCUGUGGCCAGGCCCCUUGCGGGGCACCGACGUUUCCGCCGGCUUCCUGGUCAUGUCAAGUCCUGGUAAGGUUCUUCGCGUCGCGUCGAAUUAAACCCCACGCUCCGCUGCUUGUGCGGGCCCCCGUCAAUUCUUUUGAGUUUCAGCCUUGCGGCCGUACUCCCCAGGCGGAGUGCUUAAUGCGUUAACUGCAGCACUAAGGGGCGGAAGCCCCUUAACACCUAGCACUCAUCGUUUAGGGCGUGGACUAC